rnacentral:rRNA from 7 species
AAAAGGGAAGUUUAGCCGGGAAGUUAGCGUCUA